rnacentral:rRNA from 1 species
GACGAAGGGGGCUAGCGUUGUUCGGAAUUACUGGGCGUAAAGCGCAUGUAGGCGGUUUGGUAAGUCCGUUGUUGAAGCCCCCGGCUCAACUGGGGGAGGUCAAUGGAGACUCUAGACUUGAGGGCAACAGAGGCACAUGGAACUCCCGGUGUAGCGGUGGAAUGCGUAGAGAUCGGGAAGAACACCCGUGGCGAAGGCGG